rnacentral:rRNA from 1 species
UACGUAGGGGCCUAGCGUUGUCCGGAAUUAUUGGGCGUAAAGAGCUCGUAAGCGGUUCGGCAAGUCGGAUGUGAAAUCUCCACGCUUAACGUGGAGGGGCCAUUCGAAACUGCUGUGACUCGAGUCCGGUAGGGGAGUGUGGAAUUCCCGGUGUAGCGGUGAAAUGCGCAGAUAUCGGGAGGAACACCAGUAGCGAAGGCGGCACUCUGGGCCGGUACUGACGCUGAGACGCGAAAGCGUGGGGAGCAAACAGG